UGAUGACAUUCUCCGGAAUCGCUGUAGGGCAGUGAUGAAAGUGCGUUUGAACCCUUUUCCAUCUGACGGCUGCGCGCUCCCGCU
ensembl:snoRNA